GCCGCUCCCAGGCUCCUCCGGACUCCGCGCACCCUCCUGGGAUUGUCUCGGAGGGGACCGCGCCGUGCAGGCCAUUGGUCACGUGGGUCACGAGGUGAGGGGCAAAUACUUGCCAUCCUGAAAGCAGCCUGGUGCAGAGAAGGUGGAGAGGAGUGCUGGGCUCAGCCAGGAAGGACCCCAAAAAGCCCUCUGGAGCGCUUCCAGACGGAGCAGUCAAACGCCAUGGAGGUGGUGCUGCUCUUCCUGUGUGGCCUGCUGGCCCCGGCGGUCCUGGCCAAUGCAGCUGAGCAGGAGAAAGAAAAGGACCCUUUUCAUUACGACUACCAGACCCUGAGGAUCGGGGGAUUGGUGUUUGCUGUGGUCCUCUUCUCGGUGGGGAUCCUGCUUAUCCUAAGUCGCAGAUGCAAGUGCACUUUUAACCAGAAGCCGCGGGCUCCAGGGGACGAGGAGGCCCAGGUGGAGAACCUCGUCACCGCAAAUGCAACGGAGCCCCAGAAAGCAGAGAACUGAAGUGCAGCCCUCAGGCACAAAGAACCUGAAGGCAGCUGCUUGAACCUUUAGAUGCAAAUGCUGAUGCUUAAGAAAACCGGCCACUUCAGCAACAGAUCUUUCCCCAGGAGAAGCCAAGAACUUGUGUGUCCCCCACCCUCUCCCCAACCCCUCGACACCUGUCCUCAACUUAAUGAUGCAACCCCUGCCCCUCUGCAGCCUGUGGUCUCGUCCAACUCCUGUGACGUGUGUCUGUGUGUGUGUGUGUGUGUGUGUGUGUGUCUGAUGACUGUGGUCUUCGUGGCUGCUUGUUCGUGGAUGACACUGUAUUUUAGUGAACCUGGCCCCACUUUCCUGGGCAGGAGCUCAGCCAUGUGGCUGUCAGCUCGUCUCUGCUCUCCAUGGCCCCAUCACCUUCCACUCCUGGGAGUCUGCUUUGUCCCUAAGAGACCAGUUCCUUCUCUUGAUUGAGGGGUGGAUGGAGGGGUUGGGCACGGGCGGGAGUCUCUGAUUGGCUUGGGACUUGGGAAGGUUUACAUCACCUUCGUGAUCCUUCUACAUGGCCCGUCUUCACUCCUUUUAUAAGAACCUUGCUUCCACAUUUGUCCCUGGACCAAGUCUGUUCUGAGGUCCCUUGGCAGUGGGAGGUUCCCAGCAAGGAGCUGAUGAGCCCGCUUUGCCCUCGGGCAGCUACACCCCUUCCCUGGUGCCCAUCUGCCCCACCUCACUCUGCCCCUGGGGAACGUGCCCCUUGCAUAUCUUCUCAGCAAUAACCCCGUGGGCUCUGGAACCCUACUCCCUUCUCCAGCCUUCCCUGCUCCCAAGACGCCCAUCUCUAGCCCAGCUCAUCUGGACUCAGACUCCUGUCCCUGACCUGGGGCUCUGGCAGGUGAUGGCUGAAGGGGUGCAUUCAGCUGGGGCCAGUGCUCUGGGGAGGGGCAGCUUGGAGAGCAGGGGUCCUUUGCUUCUCUGUCCACAUCCCAUUGGCCAGGCAGCAGCGGGGGCGCCUGCACCCUCUGCUCGCCUGUCACUGGCCAGAACGGCAAGUACAGCGGCUGUGCUGCGGGUUAGGGACCCGGCAGGGCUCCGCGCAGCCCUGCUGCAGGGGGAAUGGCACGAGGUCGAAGCUGGUGAAGAGAGUGGAAAAUCAGACCCCGCCCCUCCCACUCAUCGUGUUCUCGUGGAAACUAACCAAACCGUGCCGCUGUGACCAGGACUGCUGUUCUCUGUGUCGUGAUCGCUCCUCAACAACGACGAAAGGAAUAAAAUACCACUUGUUUCCUAGU
ensembl:lncRNA